rnacentral:rRNA from 1 species
CAAUAGCGUAUAUUAAAGCUGUUGCGGUUAAAAAGCUCGUAGUUGGAUUUCUGUCAAGGACAACUGGUCCGCCCUCCGGGUGAGCACAUAGUUUGGUCUUGGCAUCUUGCUGGAAACUGUUGCUGCGCUUGGUUGUGUGGUGCAGCUUUCAGCACUUUCACUUUGAGGAGAUUGGAGUGUUUCAAGCAGGCACAUGCCUUUGGACACAGUAGCAUGGAAUAAUUAGAUUGGGCUUUUGCUCCAACUUGUUGGUUCCUGGAGCUGAGGUGAGAAUCAAUGGGGAUUGUUGGGGGCAUCCGAAUUUAGCCGUCAGAGGUGAAAUUCUUGGAUCUGCUAAAGACGGACAACUGCGAAAGCGUUUGCCCAGGAUGUUUUCAUUG